UUGCACACUUGAGACAUAUUGCCCAGCCAGCCCUGUUUUCACAAUACAGAACCAAUCUUAAAUUGUAGUAGGGUUGAGUAUAACUCCUUGCUAUAGAGCUAGCUUUUUUAUAGCGUGGUAGAGUAUCCGCCUUAGGUGGGAGAGGUCCCGAGUUCGAUUCCCGGUCAGGGCUGAAGUAUUUUCAGCCUGUUACAGAAUUGCUGUUAGUUGUAUAAUAAUUAGAAGAGUUAUGGGACACCAGUUAUACAAGAAGAGACCACGGAAAUAUGUUAAAUGUGGCCAAUAAUUUCACUAACAUCACAUUAAUUUACGCUUAUUUGAUGAACAGUUUGAUUUACUUUCACACAUAUUUUUGUUUCAAAACUUGUGUCAAAAAGGCAAUUGUUUAGUAGUCAACUAUAUCUUCUGAUUUACAGGGGCAUGUAUGAACAUCUACAAAAUACUGUAGAAAUGGAAAAUAAGAAUGUAUAUGAUUCCCUGAAAGCUGAUCACGAAGACUCAACUGAAAGCAAGGCCCAAUAUGAAAACCUACAACAGGCAGUUUGUACUUACACUGCACCUACAACAGCAACACAGUGAUCGGGCAUAUGCAAAUUAACGAGUGGAAAAAAGUACUGGCGUAGGACAAGUCUUACCGAAGAACGACACUGGAUAGAUUUUGUUGUACCAUUGCAGCUUUUCACUGCAUCAUUUCUUUGAAUUUAUAUCUUUUAUUUAUUUAUAUAUCCUAUUUAUACCUACAAAAAUUUGGUACAAUACGGAAUAUAUUCACUUAGGCAAAUGUUUAAGGUAACUAAACUCUGAGCUUUAACAUGAUUUUUCUCUACAUUUCUUAAGUGUAAUAAUGAUACAAUUGUGACGUGAAUCUAUUUUUCAAGUUUGUUUUGAGACGAUAAUAUAUGGAAGACUCUGUUGUUGGUUUAAGAUACAAUAUAGGUUCACCUGCAUCGCCAUUUUAAUGAGCCAUCUUUGUGUCCAGUGUGGAGUCCCAUGAACUGCCUUCUGAAUUGAAAGCUUUAUAAUUCAAGAAUAGGUCUAUUUGUUAGAAAGUUAUGACGAGCUCUUUUAGACCACCGUUUAAAGAAACAGUAAUUCCUUCAUAAAAUGAUUCGAUUCACUUCAAAUAAUUCAUAAAGUUGCAAUUCUUCAUUCUGUGACAAAAUGUAUGCUACGAACUAUAUCCUUUGCUCCCUCUACAUUAAAGGUUGGACUACCUCAGGUUCUACUAACAAGCCAUAGAAAUUCAUUUUUCGAAUUGAUUUAUUAAUUGGUAGAGUGUCAAUUACUUUUUGACAUUUAUGUAAAUACUCCUAACUCAAGAAGAUUUGAUUUAUGGAAACCAUCCAUGUGACUUACAACAGGGCAAUAAAACUUCCAUAGCAGAUUCCUCUCGGGUCUUGAAUAAUCGUAUUAUCUUCACGCACUUAGAAUUAAUGUAUAAAUCAUGUUGUCUCUUAUAUGUCUGUAUAGAAAGGCAUACAUAAUUUAUAUUAUUAUAGUAUACUGUCCUAUGAUGUUGUACGUAUGGAGAGACUUAAAUAAAUUAUUAAACUUGAA
rnacentral:lncRNA from 1 species